UAGCCCCAGGACCUAAUGUAAUACUUUGUACACAACUUGCUGGAUUGAACCUCAUUUGAGCCUCACAGUUGCCCUAUUCUCAAGAAAAGACACUGAAUCCCAGGGGGUCGAAAUCAUGUUCUCAGCUAAGUUUCAGAGAAAGGCCAUGUGGUACGACAAGAAGAGCACUUCCUAGAGUCAGAAGACCUGGGUUCAAAACCCACCUCUACCAGCAUGACCUUGGGGUGUUCUAUUGGAGGGCUGCAGCUUAUGUUGGUGAGAGCAGC
rnacentral:lncRNA from 1 species